rnacentral:rRNA from 1 species
GAUGAACGCAGGCGGCGUGCCUAAUACAUGCCAGUCGAGCGAACGGACGAGAAGCUUGCUUCUCUGAUGUUAGCGGCGGACGGGUGAGUAACACGUGGAUAACCUACCUAUAAGACUGGGAUAACUUCGGGAAACCGGAGCUAAUACCGGAUAAUAUUUUGAACCGCAUGGUUCAAAAGUGAAAGACGGUCUUGCUGUCACUUAUAGAUGGAUCCGCGCUGCAUUAGCUAGUUGGUAAGGUAACGGCUUACCAAGGCAACGAUGCAUAGCCGACCUGAGAGGGUGAUCGGCCACACUGGAACUGAGACACGGUCCAGACUCCUACGGGAGGCAGCAGUAGGGAAUCUUCCGCAAUGGGCGAAAGCCUGACGGAGCAACGCCGCGUGAGUGAUGAAGGUCUUCGGAUCGUAAAACUCUGUUAUUAGGGAAGAACAUAUGUGUAAGUAACUGUGCACAUCUUGACGGUACCUAAUCAGAAAGCCACGGCUAACUACGUG